UACGUAGGGUGCGAGCGUUAAUCGGAAUUACUGGGCGUAAAGCGUGCGCAGGCGGUUUUGUAAGCCGGAUGUGAAAUCCCCGGGCUUAACCUGGGAAUGGCAUUUGGGACUGCAAGGCUUGAGUGCGGCAGAGGAGACUGGAAUUCCUGGUGUAGCAGUGAAAUGCGUAGAUAUCAGGAAGAACACCCGUGGCGAAGGCGGCUCUCUGGGACGGUACUGACGCUGAGACGCGAAAGCGUGGGGAGCGAACAGG
rnacentral:rRNA from 1 species